CACUCCUGCGGGAGGCAGCAGUGGGGAAUAUUGGACAAUGGGCGCAAGCCUGAUCCAGCCAUGCCGCGUGAGUGAUGAAGGCCCUAGGGUUGUAAAGCUCUUUCACCGGUGAAGAUAAUGACGGUAACCGGAGAAGAAGCCCCGGCUAACUUCGUGCCAGCAGCCGCGGUAAUACGAAGGGGGCUAGCGUUGUUCGGAUUUACUGGGCGUAAAGCGCACGUAGGCGGACUAUUAAGUCAGGGGUGAAAUCCCGGGGCUCAACCCCGGAACUGCCUUUGAUACUGGUAGUCUUGAGUUCGAGAGAGGUGAGUGGAAUUCCGAGUGUAGAGGUGAAAUUCGUAGAUAUUCGGGGGAACACCAGUGGCGAAGGCGGCUCACUGGCUCGAUACUGACGCUGAGGUGCGAAAGCGUGGGGAGCAAACAGGAUUAGAUACCCUAGUACCA
rnacentral:rRNA from 1 species